rnacentral:misc_RNA from 1 species
CCUCUGUAAGCUCUUCUGAAUUACAGUCAGUCAAGAUGGAAAUGGAUACCGACCCUUGUGCUGACACAAAAAUUAGAAGGUCUCUCCGGCGUAGAGCCUGGAUAAACUAUGGAAAAUUGGACAAUAAUAGUUCGGAGGAUGAAUCUGAUUUGGUAAAGCUUGAUCAAAAUCUCAGUUUAAGGCCUCAUCUUCCCAAGGGGGUUAUUCGUGGGUGUGCACAAUGCAGAAAUUGCCAAAAGGUCACUGCAACAUGGCGUCCUGAAUAUGCUCGCAGGCCUGACCUUGAGGAUGCUCCUGUAUUCUACCCUACUGAAGAGGAGUUUGAAGAUACUUUGAAAUACAUAGCUAGCAUACGAC